rnacentral:rRNA from 1 species
AUGGAGGAGCGGCUUGCCUCCCACAAGAGAGCUCCGAGGAAGCCGAAGCCGCCGCCGAGGCGGACCAAGCCGACCGUCGCCGCCGCACCUACCAGCAGCCCGUCGUUGACCGGCCCGCCACGCCCGCCAGGCAUUCCACCGCCACCUGGGCCUCCUCCGCGGCUGCCUGGAGGUCCUGUCCCGCCGCCGCCGUCUAUGAAAAUGCCCGGCAAGGGCCGUCCGCCUGUGGCUGUGGGCGGCGGUGGCGAAAGAAUGCGCCGCGCGCCCGAGAUCGUGGAGUUCUACCAGUCCCUGACCAGGCGCGGCGAGGCCAGGCAGGCUGGCUCCCGAGGCCCCAAGGCGUCCGGCGGGUCAACGGCUCCCAAGAGCGACUUAAUCGGGGAGAUCACCAAGAACUCCCCCCAUCUCCUUGCCGUUCAAGCCGAUGUGGAGACCCAAGGGGACUUCGUGCGCACCUUGGUCGCCGAGGUCCGGGAGGCGACCUUCGCGAGCAUCGAGGACGUCGUGGCGUUUGUGACAUGGCUCGACGAAGAGCUCUCCUUCUUGGUGGAUGAACAAGCAGUCUUGAAGCACUUCGACUGGCCGGAGAAAAGAGCAGACACAUUGCGAGACGCCGCUGCCAGGUACCAGGGCCUUCUGCAACUAGAGAAGCAGAUCUCGUCCUUCGUCGAUGACCGCGCGCUCCACCGCGACGCAGCGCUCGGCAAGAUGUACUCCCUCUUCGAGAAAACAGAGAAGAGCGUCCACAAGUUCCUGCAAGAUAGGGAUGCCGCCGACACGAAGAACAAUCUCAUCUCACGGUACAAGGAGCAAGACAUUCCAGUUGGCUGGAUGUCAGACGCAGGUUUAAUUGUGAAGGUCAAGUUGGCGUGCGUCAACCUCGCAAAGCAGUACAUGACGCGGGUGGUCUCGGAGAUUGAUGGUUUAAGAGGCAUCAACAAAGAUCACACCAGGGAAACAGCACUCUUCAAACGUCUGAAAGAGCAGAACAGUGAAGUGCUGCUCCAUCAGGGUGUCAGGUUCGCGUUCCGGGUUCAUCAGUUUACAGGCGGGUUCACCGCUCAGAGCUUAGGUGCUUUUGAUGAGCUAAAACGACGGCAUAAUGAUGGAACAACUUAA